rnacentral:misc_RNA from 1 species
GAUGAAGAACGUAGCGAAAUGCGAUAAGUAGUGUGAAUUGCAGAAUUCAGUGAAUCAUCGAAUCUUUGAACGCACAUUGCGCCCCUUGGUAUCCCGAGGGGCAUGCCUGUUCGAGCGUCAUUUCACCACUCAAGCCUGGCUUGGAGUUGGGCGACGUCCCCUUUGGGGACGCGCCUCGAAACGCUCGGCGGCGUGGCACCGGCUUUAAGCGUAGCAGAAUCUUUCGCUUUGGAAGUCGGGGCCCCGUCUGCCGGAAGACCUACUCGCAAGGUUGACCUCGGAUCAGGCAGGGAUACCCGCUGAACUUAAGCAUAUCAAUAAGCGGAGGA